CCAAUAGCGUAUAUUAAAGUUGUUGCAGUUAAAAAGCUCGUAGUUGAAUUUCGGGAUCAAUAUGUUGGUCGUGCCAUUGGUACGUACUGGCAUUAUUGGUUUCUACCUUCUGAAGAACCUCGAUGUCAUUAAUUUGGUGUCUUGGGGAAUCAGGACUGUUACUUUGAAAAAAUUAGAGUGUUUAAAGCAGGCUCGCGCUUGAAUACAUUAGCAUGGAAUAAUGAAAUAGGACGUUUGAUUCUAUUUUGUUGGUUUCUAGGAUCGACGUAAUGAUUAAUAGGGAUAGUUGGGGGCAUUAGUAUUCAAUUGUCAGAGGUGAAAUUCUUGGAUUUAUUGAAGACUAACUACUGCGAAAGCAUUUGCCAAGGAUGUUUUCAUUAAUCAAGAACGAAAGUUAGGGGAUCGAAGACGAUCAGAUACCGUCGUAGUCUUAACCAUAAACUAUGCCGACUAGGGAUCGGAUGAUGUUAAUUUUUUAAUGACUCAUUCGGCGCCUUACG
rnacentral:rRNA from 1 species